rnacentral:lncRNA from 1 species
CAAGUUUCUCUUUUUCUCCAGGAACUCCCCUUCAGCUGCUGUUUUUAUGUACCAUGCAGUUCCUUGCUAAAACCCCACGGUUAAAAAACAAACAUAUUGCUGAAAAAAAAAGUAGGUGAUGAUGCUGCUUUACAUGUUGCAUAAGAGCCUCAACGUAAAUGCGCACAUCGUACCAGGAAAUGAAAAGUUGACAGCGGAUCUGCAAGGGAUAGGAUGGGAGUGCGUUGGGUGGUUAUAUAAAAGUAGAAUGUGCUUGUGUCACCAACGGAUGAUAUAGAUUAUAUAUCGGCAAUCACUUAAAAUGCUCACAACGCACACGACAAACGUUUCUCCCUUCGGUCGCUUAUUUUCUGCUUGACCUUGUGAACUCGCGCCGCAGCAGUGGUCAAAGCCCAGCCAUUCCUCAUUUAUUUGUAUAUGCCCGGGCAGGUUAUGUAUUACCCAGACAGGAUGUGACAUCACCGGGUCCAAACUAAAAAUAUGUCGCAGGACGGGAUGUCUAGGAUGUCCAGAACCCUGUCUGCUAGAAGAUGCUGCCUCGCAGCGGGAUCCAGACAAGUGAUGCACGCCGAUGGACGCAGAAGGGGACCACGCAGGCGAGACACACGGGAGGCUGAACCGUCUCAUUUCUUUACCUCCUGGUUGGAUUUGGACUCUUCGCCUGGCUGCUUCACCUGGAUGUAUGAGUGCCCCCCCCACCCGCCUGUCCCCAGGUCGGUGUCUAUGUGUGUGUUGUUUUUUAGACCAGUAAUCCCCCAUCUGUCCCUAUAACAAUGAAACCAACGUUGUCUGAGCCGCUAUAACUUAGAACCUAGAGUCUCCAAUCGAAGUAGAACAUAACCAAUUCUCUGCAUUAGAGGGUCUAGGGCUGCAUUUCUAGUCUCUUCUCUUGGUGAUCCGGGCCAAGAGAUGCUUGUGAGCUGAGACUGAUUCAUUGGCUAGCUGCUUCUCUUCUCCGAUCAUGCUCACUCUGUCUUUUUCUCUUUCUCUCUCACACACACACACACACACACACAGAAACACACCCUGGCAUAGUAACCGGCUGUCUCUCCCCGGGCUUCCCUAGCGUGCUGCUGAGCCUUGGUCUACUACCCGAAAUUCGCCUAGACGUGUGUGUCUAUAUGCACAGGCGAGUGAACACACCCGCCUGCCAAGCAUGCCACGCCCAGGCCAGACAGACGGACGGGCUCCCGCCCAAUCACAACUGGAUCAGCCUUAAACAUGUGUAUGGCAAUGUCUGGUGGAACCAAAUUGGUCCCCUUAAGGGAUAGGCCAGAGAGGGCUGUGAUUGGAUAGAGGGUAGCGUGCAGGAUUCGCUAGGCUGUCUGGCGUGGCCUCCCUGAGAGCUGCC